GUGGAACCUUGAUAAAAAUGUGAGCUCACCACAGCCGCUCUUUCCCAGGUAGGAAUUAAUCAUCCAGUAGGUGUUCAUGGAGAUUCAGGAUGAAGUAGACUGCUGCUCUCCUUGGAAGACCACUACUUACUAGGAAGUGCUGGAGAGGUAUAGGCACAAAUUCUGAUGAAGGCACACUCAAAAAUUAAGUUCUUGCUGAGGACUGUUACGUGUGCUUAUGGUUUUUGUGUUUUGGAUUUUUAAGUGUCCAUUUAAAGUGCUUCUAUGAGCUCAUUUAAAGUUUAGGCAGUAGGCCAGACUAUUGGAUCUGGUUCUUCCACUUCAACCCAGGAACCAGGUUCCUAAUGAGUUUCUAGGGCCCUGGGAACCUGCAGGGAGACCCUGGAAUCCCCAUCAGGGAAGAGACUUGAAAGAAGGAGGGACAGCAAUGCCCUGAGCUGCUGGUGUUCAGAGAAACAACCCAGGCAGACCAUAGAAGGCAAGACUGGGUGGACGUUAACCCUGGGCACUAUCCUUGCACCAAGAGCCAACUGUUCCAGUCUUGGAGAAGGAAGAGUGAACGUUGGGAACAGGGUGUGAGGAAAGCAGGGAGUGCUGGAGGAAGUGUCCAGUGAACCCACCUGCCGCACUCCUAGACACUGGGUGUGAGUCUGCUGAACACAGGGAGCCCCAGGGGGCCUGGGUUAGACGCUGCUGGACCUGCAGGGAAGCCUGGAGCUGGGUCCCAUUCAGUGGGUGCCCAUUGGUACCAGGCCCACCAUCCCUCACCCCCAACCCGGAAUUGAGUAACCUCAGAAAAUGGAAAGAAGUGUGUGUGUGUGUGUGUGUGUGUGUGAGAGAGAGAGAGAGAGAGAAAGAGAGAGAAAGUCUAUGGUAGAAUUCAUUUGGCAGUGAGGCCUGCCCUGACCCAGG
rnacentral:lncRNA from 1 species